UGUGAGUCCCGAUUUCCCACUCCACACGCUAUAUUUGUGCAUAUGUCUUUAAUUCCUCUAGCGCUGCUGGGUUAGGGUCUCCACGACUGAGCUGGUCUCGGCAAGUGGAACCCAACGUUGGGGCUCAAACCCAGGUCGAAAGGUCGCCGGGGCAAUGGUUGGAGAACAUGGAACUAAGCUGGAGGACACCCGAGUGCUCUUAAGCAAUCCCCGUGGCCAAAACCAGCAGCCAAUUUGGAUACCAUCAAGACACCUGAAACCUUAUCAUGAGCCAGAUGCCAAAGAAGACAUUCUAGCAGGAUUGCGAGGACCCCCCAGUUGCAGCCAUGUUGACACUGAUGCUGAGGAGGACCCCAGCUGUCACAGAUGGUGGAAGAAAACCUGAGGAAAGCGGACAACCUGUCACAACGAGUAAUUUAAUGAUAGCUAUGAUAGCGGUGGUCACUACUGCCUCUGCAGAUGCAGAUCCCGACUCCUGCGAGAAGUAGCUCACCGUGACAAAGCUGCCUUUGUUUUUAUCACUUUGUGAAACAAAAAAGGGGGACAUGUUGGGAACAGGCCCCCCCCCAAAUCUUGCCAUAAGCUGGCCCCAAAACUGGCCAUAAACAAAAUCUCUGCAACACUGUGACAUGUUCAUGAUGGCCAUGAUGCCCAUGCUGAAGGUUGUGGGUUUACCAGAAUGAGGGCAAGGAAUACCUGGCCCACCCAGGGCAGAAAACCACUUAAAGGCGUUCUUAAACCACAAAUAAUGGCAUGAGCAAUCUGUGCCUUAAGGACAUGUUUCUGCUGCAGGAAACUAGCCAGAGCCCAUCCCUUUGUUUCGGCCCAUCCCUUUUUUCCCGUAAGGAAUACUUUUAAUCUAUAAUCUAUAGAAACAAUGUUUAUCGCUGGCUUGAGGCCAAUAAAUAUGUGGGUAAAUCUCUGUUCGGGGCUCUCAGUUCUGAAGGCUGUGAGUCCCCUGAUUUCCCACUCCACACGCUAUAUUUGUGUGUGUGUCUUUAAUUCCUCUAGAGCUGCUGGGUUAGGGUCUCCACGAUCAAGCUGGUCUCAGCAAGAGUGAGAGGUCAUCAGUGAGAAAAGAGGUUUGUGGCCAAGAAAGUACAUGACCAAUGAAAGAGAGUUAACAGAAAUGGAAGGGGGAAAAAGAAAGGUAACUAGAAUAAAAACUACUAGUUUAAAGAGAAUGGAAUAUAAUUAGGAAAAAGCAAAGUAAAUUUGUCCAGAAGAAUAAAACAAAGCAUAGGAUCCUUUGAGGAAAGAACACAAGGCAAGAAAGCAAAUUGCUAGUCAUGAAGGACUACACAAAGUGGUUAUGUUUUACUCUAUCCAAUAAAACAUGAUUAAUAAGAAACCAAUCAAUUACAUUAUUCCAACAGUAUUCUAAAUAACAUUCCAGACAGUUCCACUUGUGGAAACUACAGAGCAAAUUUACUUGACUUGGUCUUCUGCUGUAAACAACCAGAAAACUAGAUAAAAUACAUGAAAUAACUGGCCUCACACAACAAACAAAAACCAUGCAUAACAGCAAUGACUGAAAGAAGCAAAAUAAAGAACACCCUAUGCUUAUCCAGCCUUUCGUGUGUAGGUACUUUCUAAACAGAAUAAGGACAGGGAUAGAACAUAGAAGCCAAAGUUCAAGAGACAGAGACAACAACUUGAGAGGUAGAGGCAACUGAAGUGCCUAAGUGUACCGAAGAGAUAGUAUUUCACCAAGAAAGAACUUUAGAAGUCUCCACUGAUGUCCCCUUGAGGCUUUGGCUAAAUACUAAGUUGAAAAUGCAUAAAGACAAAAUUCACAACACAAGACACAACCAUAGGGGAGCUUGAAGAUGAACAUUCUCAGAGCUCAUAUCAAGCUGGGAGACACUUAAGUUCACACCAGUCAGAGUGUAGACAUCACUGAAUACAAUAGUGGCAUUCAAUAGUGACUCUUGGAAAGCAGUAGACUAUAAUGGCCCUAGAGUAAAAAGUAUUCCAUACUAAUUCUAAGAAAAUUUUAAAAACUCAACAAGAUCAAGUGUAUCUAUAACUAAUCUAUAAUUAAAUUGCCUGGAAAAACAAAAUUCACCAUUCUUGAAGGAAGAUAACAAAAUCUAGAAAGUCAAAAACAUGAGUCACAAUGACUCACCACCAAAUAAUUUAUUAGACAUGCACAAAAGCAGGAAAAUAAGGCCCAUAAACAGAAGAAAAGUCAAUAGAAACAGAUGCAGAAAUGGCAUAGAUAACAAAACUUGGCAGGAAAAGCUUUUAAAAGAGCUAUUAUAAGGCUGGGCGUGGUGGCUCACGCCUGUAAUCCCAACACUUUGGGAGGCCGAGGAGUGUGGAUUACUUGAGGUCAGGAUUUAGGACCAGCCUAACCAACAUGGUGAAACCCUGUCUCUACUAAAAAUACAAAAAUUAGCUGGGCAUGGUGGUGUGCACCUGUAAUCCCAGCUAGUCGGGAGGCUGCGGUGG
rnacentral:lncRNA from 10 species